rfam:Myotis lucifugus cont2.42612, whole genome shotgun sequence.
AAGCCUGCAGAGAGAGAGGCAGGAUCUGUUCUUCAGCCUCAGUGGCAGCUGUUGAUCAGCCAUUGCCUCUCUCUUUCUCUCCC